UCCCUCGUGGCGCAAUUGGCUAGCGCGUUCGACUGUUAGAAAGCAGUUCAAUCGAGAGGUUGGUGGUUCGAGCCCACCCGAGGGAG